rnacentral:rRNA from 1 species
AGAGUUUGAUCCUGGCUCAGGACGAACGCUGGCGGCGCGCCUAACACAUGCAAGUCGAACGGAGUCAAGAGGAGCUUGCUUUUCUUGACUUAGUGGCGAACGGGUGAGUAACGCGUGAGUAACCUGCCCUGGAGUGGGGGACAACAGUUGGAAACGACUGCUAAUACCGCAUAAGCCCACGGCCCGGCAUCGGACUGAGGGAAAAGGAUUUAUUCGCUUCAGGAUGGACUCGCGUCCAAUUAGCUAGUUGGUGAGGUAACGGCCCACCAAGGCGACGAUUGGUAGCCGGACUGAGAGGUUGAACGGCCACAUUGGGACUGAGACACGGCCCAGACUCCUACGGGAGGCAGCAGUGGGGGAUAUUGCACAAUGGGGGAAACCCUGAUGCAGCGACGCCGCGUGGAGGAAGAAGGUUUUCGGAUUGUAAACUCCUGUCGUUAGGGACGAUAAUGACGGUACCUAACAAGAAAGCACCGGCUAACUACGUGCCAGCAGCCGCGGUAAAACGUAGGGUGCAAGCGUUGUCCGGAAUUACUGGGUGUAAAGGGAGCGCAGGCGGACCGGCAAGUUGGAAGUGAAAACUAUGGGCUCAACCCAUAAAUUGCUUUCAAAACUGCUGGCCUUGAGUAGUGCAGAGGUAGGUGGAAUUCCCGGUGUAGCGGUGGAAUGCGUAGAUAUCGGGAGGAACACCAGUGGCGAAGGCGACCUACUGGGCACCAACUGACGCUGAGGCUCGAAAGCAUGGGUAGCAAACAGGAUUAGAUACCCUGGUAGUCCAUGCCGUAAACGAUGAUUACUAGGUGUUGGAGGAUUGACCCCUUCAGUGCCGCAGUU